rnacentral:lncRNA from 1 species
UCUUGGCAAUCAGUUGUAUGAUUCAAGCUUUGUUGACAAAGGUCUGCCGCUGGAUCCUCACCUGCGUAUGCUCAAGCAAAAUUCAUGCUUUUGUAAGUCAUUUUUUAUUUUUAACACUUUUUAAUUUUUAAAAUGAUAAGCCAAAUAAACUUGAAAUAGUUUUGUACGUAGUUUAAUUUGAAUUGAUUUUUUAAUAUUACCUGUUAAAAUUAAAAGGAAGCCUCAGGCUGGCAACGAGGGUAAAAAGGUGAUUGACUCAGGUGAUUAAAGAAUAUUAUGCUUAAGUUGGAGCUAUUUUAUAAUAAAUAAAAAAUUACAUGGCUAACCAAAUCAUGUUUUUCCCUUUUAGUCAUUUCAAUUUCUUAGGUAAUAUAUGUUGACCAUCUUUAUUCAAGUUUAGUUUCUGCUAUUUUAAUUUGUUGUCAAUUUCAAGUAAUCAAUAAGUCAUAUUUCCUUAGUAAAACUCUUCAAGUUUAAAUAAAAACAUCACGUUUAAAUUUAUCGAUUUUCACUUAUUAAUCUUUUUCACUGCCUUCCUAUUCUCUUAUCUUUUUAUAUUUAAAUCAUCAAGUUGUUAUUCUAUAAGUAAACAAGAGUUUUGAUGAUAACUUUAUUUUUAUAUUUACUUUAAAUGUAAAUAAUAAAAUAUCUCAGGUGAAAUUAAUGAUUUACGUUCGAAAAAGUUAUGUAUCAAAAUAUCAAUUGCAAAAAAUUUAAAAUUUAAAUCUUAAUUAUAUUAUUUGAAAAUUUUCAACUAAUUACAGCAAUCUAUCAGAGAUUUUCAUUAAGACACAUAACUUUAGUGAUAUUAUAAUAUAUUAAUUGCAUAAAUAUUUAAUAGAAGUGUUGAUUCCUCCACAUUAAUAUGUUGUGUGGGAUAUUAAAUAUGUUUUUUUUUUGUUUUUUUGUUUGAUUGAUUAAUUUUUUCUAAUAAUUUUGACCAUAAAAUAACUUUUCAAUUAGCAUAUUAGAAGGAUAGUUUUCAUUUGAUUGGUUUAAGAUAUGUUUGUUAUAAAUUAAAUUAUGAGUUACAAGAUCUGAACAUUUUUAUAAAUUUGAUAAUUAAAUUGCAAGAUAUUUGUAAGUUUUUUUUAAUCUAUUUUUGUGACCUUUAAUUUUGUUAUACAAGAAAAUUUUGAGAAAAAAUGUCAUUAAGCGAAGAUAUAUUUUUAGAGAGCUCAACAAAUGGGGAAAGUAGUGAUGACUUGACUUUGAGGAAACUAUGUCAGCUAAUCCUCAAUUCCAACAUUCAGUUUUCUUUAGACCCUUACCAACUGUCAAUAAUCAAACUGUUGUGGUAACUAUUUUCAUUCUUUAACUUAUCAUUAAUGAAUACAAAUCUAUUAAUGAGGGUCUAGAGAAAACUGGAUGUUGGCAUUGAGGAUUAGCUGACAUAGUUUCCUCAAAAGUCAAGUCAUCACUACUUUCCCCAUUUAUUGAGCUUUUUGAUAAUGCAUCUUCACUUAAUGAUAUUUUUUUCCAAUAUUUUUCUAUAUAACAAAAUUGAGGGUCAUAAAAAAUAGAUAAAAAGACUUGUUAAUAUCUUGCAAUUUAAUUAUCAUCUUUAUUAAAAUGUACAAAUUUUGUGCAUAAUUUAAUUUAUAACAAACAUAUUUUAAAUCAUUCAACUGAAAACUAUUUUUCUAAUAUGCCAAUUGAAAAGAUAUUUUAGGGUCAAGAUUAUUAGAGAAAAUUAAUCAACAAACAAACAAAAACACAAAAAUAUUAUUUUUAUAUUCCACACAACACAUUAAUAUGGAGAAAUCGAUACUUCUGAUAAAUAUUAAAGCAAUUAAUAUGUUAUAAUGUCAUUAAAGUUAUGUGCCGUAAUGAAAAUUUAUGACAGAUUACUGUAAUUAGUUGAAAAUUUUCAAAUAAAAAUAUAACUAAGAUUUAAAUUUAAAAUUUUCUGCAAUUAAUAUUGUGAUGCAUAACUCUUUCAAACGAAAAUCAUUAGUUUCACCUGAGAUUUUAUUAUUUACAUUUAAAGUAAAUUUAAAAAUAAAGUUAUCAUCAAAACUCUUGCUUACUUAUAGAAUAACUUCUUGAUGAUUUCAAUAUAAAAAUAUAAGAAUAGGAAGGUAGAGGAAAAGAUUAAUAGGUGAAUCGAUAAAUUUAAAUCUUUUAAGGUUUAAGAAAAUAAUUAAUGAUUAGCUUUUUAUCUUUUUCACGACAAUCCAUCAUGAUUUAAGGUUACAAGUAGAGCUAUCACAACAUUAAUGAUAUCAAAAACAAAUGUAUAUAUAAGGAUUUAUUAAAAUAAAGUAUAACUGAAUAAGACCGUUCUAAGAUUUUUAACACAUUUAGUAUGAUUAAGGGAUUUUAUAAUCUAAAAUAAAUAAGUAAAUAUGUAUUAAAACAUAAAGAGAAUCACCCUAAUUUUAUAAGAUUUUCUCUUCGGUAGUGAUUGAUUUUAAGAAAAUAUUAAAGCUCCUAAAUUUUUGAAACUCAAUAAUAUCUCAAAUCUUAAUAGAUGUAUGACACAAAAUAUAAAUUAAAAUAAAAAAACCAAGAUCUAUAGAUUUACACAUGUAUGAAAUCAAGUCAUAAUGUUAUUUUUCUUCUCAAAUAUUUAAUGUGUUGCAAUAUAGAAUUUAAAUUAUUCAAUUUAUUGAAUAUGAAGAAAAAGUCCGUUCACAUAGAGUUUUAACACUCGCAUUAUAACCUGCAUAACAAAAAAUCAAGAGAUAAAAAUUUUAAAAAGAAAAGAAAAGAGAAAGUAAUGUUCUAAUCAUAAAAUUUUAACAAAUAAUUAAAAAAGAAAUAGAAAGUAUCUCCACAUAUAUAAAAGAGUAAUAAUUUCAGCUAAAAUAUUUUAGUCUAUUGGUAAUUGUGUAUUUGUAAAUCUUUUGUGGUGUUUAAAUCUGCUUCUCAAAAGAUUAUUUGAACUUUUAUCCUACUAUGAUUUUAAAUCAAGUUCUCAAAUUCCUUUAAAAUGAUUUCCAAAAUUAGAUGGCGAUUCGAUUUUAAAAAACGAAGAAGAUAAAAAUAGGCCAAAGUUAUAAAAUUAUUUUUACUUAGUUUGAAACUUAUCGUAAUAAGUAACAAUGUGUUCUUUGAUAAAACUACUUAAUGAGAAUUUGAGAAGGACAUAAAUCGAUAAUCAAGAAUUAGUCACACUAGUUUAUAUUUUUCAACUACUUUCAACAACAUUAUUGUCGUUAAUGCUAAUUGCAACCUUCUUUACUAAUGACAUGUUUGUUAAUUAUUAAUUUUCAAGAACAUACCUAGUUUGAAGUGAAGAAAUAAUAUUAUUAAUUGUAAGAAUGAUACGAGAACUUAUUAUUUCCUCCAGUGUACAUAAGUCUAUAUUGUUGACGUCGUCUUUUUAUUAAUUAUUAAAACUAUGUCAUAUAUUAUAAUCCACGGGAAUAUUAACUUGUUGCCUUCAAAGUUUAAUUUUGAUAUAUUUCAUUUGUUCUCCUUAUUUUAAAAUAUUACGUUGAGUUGUCUUCUGUAACUUCUUUACCUAGUUUGAGAUGUAUCUAUAAAAUUUGCUAGAUUUAGUAUUUGAAGUAUAAUUCUCUUAUUGGACUUAUUUUUUAUAUAUUUAUUUGUGAGUUUUCUAAAAUUAUUUAAGAAGUUGACAAAAUUUAAUAAGUUAUAAAGAUGUUAUAGUGGAUUACUUGUCAUAUUUGUAGCUCCUCAUCUUUUGAUCAUAUCUCAAGACUAAAUGUGUUUAGAUGAGAAUUUCGGUAGUGCGAUUAGCUUUAGAAUGUUGAGUUUUGUCUAGAUUGACCUUUCAUGGGAAUCCUGAAGCUUCUUGGCUCAUUUUGAGCCCUCGUAUAGGAUUUGGCUUAACAUGGAACUUGGGUGUGGGACCCAGUUUUAAUCAAGAUGACCUCAUAUGGAAAUUAUAAUGAUUCUGUUGAGUCUAGAAUGCCAAAUUUAGUGGGGUAGCAUAUCUAGUAUAUUUUUAUCGGGUCCCGAAUAAACCACGAGGGUCCGUAAGGAGACUUUGAAAAAUAGCAAAAUUUGAUGUUGCUUGUGCAGAUAUUUAGUGUGACACCUCAGAUUCAAGAAGAACUAGGAAGGGUCAAGUGGGCAACUCACAAGCCCAAAGGUGGACCAUGAAACUCCUCAUGGAGCCCCAGACGGGUCGUGAAGAGGACCACGGUCCGAUGGAGGGCUCGUGAAGGUGCCCAGGACCUGCUUCGCUGGUCUCCCUCCUACGAAGGGAGUUGACGGCCCGUGGUGAGCUUCACGCCCCUUAGUGGUGUCUGUGAAAAAAAUCCAGAAGAUGUCCAGGAAGGAUGCACUCCCACGACCCCUUUGACUGCCCGUGGUGAGCCUCACGAGGCGUGAAGGUGAUCGUGGAGGAUGGCCAGCCUUCAGGGGCCAUUGCCCAAGGACCACGGUGGCCACAACGGGUCGUGGUCCCUUACACGAUCCGUGUAAGCUGUCGUAGGGUGGUCGUGUCAGCUAUAAGUCAGGGUCUUUUCCUAAUUAUUCUAUCUUGAUACUAUGUCAUUUUGCCCUCUUUUAGAACCCCUGUAUAAGUGUUUUUAACCCCGAAAUUCCCCAAUUGAAAUCAUUUUCUCAAAUUUACAAAGAAGAAUAAGUCUUCCUCUCCAAAAUAUUUUUAUCUCUAGAAAGCUUGAAGAAGAAGGGAUCAACCUAGGGUUUCAAGUCAAGACUCCAAUUCCCCCAUUGAAGGCAAGCUUUUGGCAUUGAGGUAUUAUAGUUUUCAUCCAUGGAGUUCCCAACUUCUCCAAUUUUCAAAGUUAGAAAUUCCCAAUUGAGUUAUGGGUUUUCUCCUAUGUUAUGAGUUCUCUUAAUUAUUGAUUUAAUUGAUUGAUCUAUGAUCUUUUAUGCAUGAAUUGAGUUAAUAUCAUGUUUUUAUGAUGAACAUGAUGAUACCUCAUGAACCCAUGUAAUUCCCAUGUUUUCCAAGUUAUGAUCAUAUGAUGUGGGUUUUGAAUUAUGAAAGAAGAGUUUAUGAAAUUAAGCAUGUUUUCAUGAAAUUUAUGUAAUUGUUUUAAGGAUUCUUUGAGAGUGAAGUAUCAAUGUUGUCAUUUGUUUUAUUGUGAAAGGAUUUUUCAUAUACACAUGAAAGCAUGACUUUUGAAAGGACAUUCUCACAUAAAGGAUUCUUAGGGUUGAAAGGUUUUCUCAACUACACUUGGAAUCAAAGAUUUAAGGAGCUAUUCUAAUGAAAACUAGCUUGGAUUGGUUAUUGAAUGAUACAUUUCCAUGGAUACUACAUGACUUAGCUUGGAUUGGCAAUAUGACGUGCCCUUCCAUGGAUAAUAAAGACAAGUAUGCAUAAUUGACUAUUCCGUGGAAAUUACUCUUAGCAGCAAGCGGAUAUUGAUAUGGAAGCUCUCCCAUUAGUAGAGGUCGAGUUUCUAGAAGCAAUCUAUUUGUCCCUUAACUAUGUUCAACCAUGGGAUGUUGUCUUAUCUAGACAUUAGCUAGUGGAUCCACAUAAGCUAGAAGUUCAUGGCCUUACCUUAGAAAAGUAGGAAACCUUUUUUGGUGUAGGAGACACCAGAUUCCAUGUUAUAGCAUACACGGUCUCUAUAUCGGUUAAAAGGUAAUUCCCCACGAUAAUGAACUAAGGUUACUUUUAUAAUUAUCUCAUGAACGUUUUGAACUCCCCGAUACCCAACCUAUCUCUAUUCCUCCUUAUAUAAUGGCUUCGGCGGAACUCAAGGAGUUGAAGGAGAAGUUAAAGGACUUAUUGGAUAAGGAUUUCAUUCGACCGAGUAUGAUGCUCCGGUGUUGUUUGUUAAGAAGAAAGAUGGUUCACUCCGUAUGUGUAUUGAUUAUCGGCAGUUGAAUAAAGUGACCAUCAAGAACAAGCAUCCUCUUCCGAGAAUAGAUGAUUUAUUUGAUCAACUUCAAGGGGCAAAUUAUUUCUCUAAAAUUGACCUCCAAUCGGGUUAUCACCAAUUGAGGGUGAAAGAGGAAGAUAUACCAAAAAUGACUUUUAGAACUCGAUAUGGUCAUUAUGAGUUCUUGGUUAUGUCUUUUGGUUUAACUAAUGCCCCGGCAAAGUUUAUGGAUUUGAUGAAUAGGGUGUUUAGACAAUACCUUGAUAUGUUCGUAAUUGUGUUCAUAGAUGAUAUUUUGAUCUAUUCAAGAAGUGAGAAUGAGCAUAUUGAUCAUUUGAGGAUUGUAUUGCAAAUUCUCUAGGACCAACAACUCUAUGAGAAGUUUAGUAAAUAUGAGUUUUGGUUAAGGUCCGUAGCUUUCCUUGCCCAUAUAGUUUCAAGCAAGGGUAUUGACGUAGAUCCAAAGGAGACUGAUGCGGUCAAGAGUUGGCCUAGACCUCUAUCACCAACAGAUAUUAGAAGUUUCUUGGGUUUGGCCGGUUAUUAUAAAAGGUUUGUUGAGGGGUUCUCCUCUAUUGCUUCUCCUUUGAUGACUUUGACGACUUUGACUCAAAAGAAGGCCAAGUUUAUAUGGUCCGAAGCUUGUGUGAAAAGUUUCCAAGAGUUGAAAGAUAGACUUACUUCCGCUCCGGUGUUGACCUUACCGGAAGGUACAGAUGACUUUGUGGUAUAUUGUGAUGCCUCUAGAGUUGGAUUGGGAUGUGUGCUCAUGCAAAAUGGUAAGGUAAUUGCCUAUGCUUCAAGGCAACUAAAUGUUCAUGAGAAGAACUAUCCUACCCACGAUCUUGAAUUAACGGCGGUGGUAUUUGCCUUAAAGAUUUGGAGGCAUUAUUUGUAUGGGGUCCACGUUGAUGUGUUUACCGAUCACAAAAGUUUGCAAUAUGUGUUUACCCAAAAAGAUCUGAAUCUUUGCCAAAGAAGGUGGCUUGAGUUAUUAAAAGAUUAUGAUAUGAGUGUUCUCUAUCACCCCGGUAAAACAAAUGUGGUGGCGGAUGCCCUUAGUCGGUUAUCCAUGGGUAGUGUUACACAUGUUGAUGAUGAGAGAAAAGAGUUGGUUCGAGAUGUUCAUAGGUUAGCCCGAUUGGGAGUUUAACUAGUGGAUUCCACCAAGGGUAGUAUUAUGGUCCAUAAUGGUUUUGAAUCAUCUUUCGUGGCCGAUGUUAAAGCAAAGCAAUGUCUUGAUCCGACCUUAGUAUAAUUGAAAGAAGUGGUACUAAAGAAGUCUGUAGAGGCUUUCUCCCGGGGGGAUGGUGUCCUAAGGUACCAAGGUUGAUUGUGUGUUCUGAAUGUCAAUGACUUGAGGCAACAGAUCUUGUCAGAAGCCCAUAGUUCUCGGUAUUCUAUUCACCUGGGAGCCACCAAGAUGUACCGUGAUUUGCGGGAGAUCUAUUGGUGGAAUGGGAUGAAGAAGGAUAUUGCAGGAUUUGUGGCUAAGUGUUCUAAUUGCCAACAAGUGAAGGUUGAGCAUCAGAGACCGGGAUUUUAUCCUAAGAUAUUAGCAUUCCUACUUGGAAGUGGGAAGAUAUGAAUAUGGACUUCAUUGUAGGGUUGCCCUGAACUCGGCUUCAAUAUGAUUCAAUUUGGGUUAUAAAAGACCGAAUGAUGAAGUCAGCCCAUUUAAUUCCCGUCAAGGUUUCCUAUAUGGCGGAAGAUUAUGAUAAGUUGUAUUUGAGAGAGAUGGUAAGGUUGUAUGAAGUGCCCUUGUCCAUUAUCUCCGAUAGAGGUACUCAGUUUACUUCACAAUUUUGGAAAUCUUUCCAAAACGAUCUUGGCACGAAAGUUAAGCUUAGUACAGUUUUUCACCCCUAAACUGAUGGGCAAGCGAAAAGAACAAUCCAAACAUUGGAAGAUAUGUUGAGGGCGUGCGUGAUAGAUUUCAAGGGAAAUUGGGAUGACCAUUUGCCUUUGAUAGAAUUUGCCUAUAAUAAUAGCUACCAUUCCAGUAUUGGUAUGGCUCCGUUUGAGGUUCCUUAUAGUAUGAGGUGUAGAUCCCCUAUCGGAUGGUUUGAGGUGGGUGAGGUUACUUUGAUAGGAUGGUUUGAUAUGGGUGAGGUUACUUUGAUAGGACCCGUGUUAGUUCAUGAAGCUAUUGAGAAAGUUCGACUCAUUAGAGAGAGGUUGAGAACCGCCCAAAGUCGACAAAAGUCUUAUGUAGAUGUUAGAAGGAGAGACCUUGAAUUUGAUGUGCUUGAUUGGGUUUACUUGAAAAUCUCACCCAUAAAGGGUGUAAUGAGGUUUUGUAAGAAAGGGAAACUUAGUCCCCGUUUUGUAGGCCCAUAUCAAAUUUUGAGACGUGUUGGUAAGGCUGCAUAUGAGCUUGAUUUUCCAAAUGAGUUGGCAUCAGUGCAUCUGGUUUUCCAUGUCUCUAUGUUGAAAAAGUGUGAUAGAGGUCCGACAUCCAUAAUUCCCCUAGAAGGGUUAGAAGUGAAAGAGAACCUUUCUUAUGAAGAAGUUCCGGUAGACAUCUUAGAUCGUCAAGUUAAGAGGUUGAGGAAUAAAGAGGUUGCUUCCGUUUAAGUGUUAUGGAUAAACCAUCUAGUUGAGGGUGCUACUUGGGAGGCCGAGGCCAAUAUGAUAUCCUGAUAUCCUCAUCUCUUUCCUCCUAUUCUAUCUUGAGGUAAUGAUUUCCUCUUGUUUUGCUUAUGUUUGAAGUCAUAAGUGUUUUAUGUGUUUCCAUGAUUUCCUUAAAUUUGCAUGUUCAUGAAACAGCUUAAGUUUUUUAAAGAAUUUGCUUUUAUUAUGUAUUUUCCUCAUGUUGUUGAGUAUUGAAUAUAAGUUGCUUAUAGACUUCAUGAGAUGAGUUGUAGAACAUGCCUUGACUUGGAGUGGAGAUCCCCUCCUUGAAUCAGUGCUUUUUGAGAUUUAAUUGCAUUUAGACUCCAUGAGAUUGUGUUGAGCAUUGCUUUUGAGUUUGGAGAAGGUAGUUCCUCCUUAAGUGUAAGAAAUUUGAAAUUUCAUGCAUAUUGGGUUGUUAGAUGUAGUUCCUACUUCCUUAUGGUGCAUUGAGUAUAUUUAGCUUAGAGAUUAAGUUCCUUUUUAGUUGUGUGCAUUUAGAUGAGUUGUGUGCAUUUAGAUGAGUUGUGUGCAUGAUGGGCUGCUAGUCUUGGUCUUUGGCCUAGAAACGUGCUUAGAAUCUCAUUCGAGGACGAAUGAUCCCAAAGGGGAGAUAAUGUAACACCUCGGAUUCGAAGCAAGGCAAAUCGCAGCUUUUAGGGAUAAUUGCAGCUGCCAUCUACGAGGACCAACCACGGUCUGUGGGUUGACUUACGGACCGUAGGUGGGGCCGUGGAUAGCAACCUCACAAAAUGGUCCAGGCAUGGACCACGGAGGGACCUAUGGACUGUAGGUGGGUCCACGCCCCGUGGUCCAGCCAACUAUCAAUGGCCAGAAUUCUCUGACAACAAACGACAACUGACCAGGACGGACCGUAGGUCCAUCCACGGUCCGUCGAUUGUGGUCUCAUGGGUCAGGACUGGCAGUUAUUUUUAGGGGAUUAUGGGUCUUUUCCAGCUUUAAUUAAAUCAAUGUGGUGUCAAUUUUUCCUAAACCUAGACCACUUAUAUAAGGAUUUUAGACCCUUUAACUCACUCAGUUAAGUCAUUCUCUCAAUUCACAAAAGAAACCCCAAAACUCCUCUUAAAUAUUAUCUCUCUAGAAGGUAGAAGAAGAAUAAAAAAAAAUGAGGAGAUUGAAGCUAGGUCAAGAUCAAGUCUACCAAUCUUCAAGCUUUGGUGGGCAUUGAGACUAAGGUAUGAUGGCUUUUCAUCCAUGGGAUUCUUCCUCCCAUGGAGUUCCCUAGAAUUCCAUAAUUUGAAGAAGAUUUUUCCCAAUUCUAGUUAGGGUUUCUUCCAUUGUUGUGGGUUAUGAUGAAUGUUGAUCCAAUUUAGUGGAUUAUGAUUGUUUAUGAUUGAAUUCAUAGAAUUGCAUGUAUUUAAGAUGAAACUAUAUGUAACCAUGCCUAUCCUAUGAUUUUAGGGUUGAAUUGAUAUAGUUGGGUUUGAUGUCAUGUAAGGGAAACUCUAUGGGUUAGAUACGUCCUUAUAGGAUUGAUGAAUUAUGACUAGAAUUGCUUGAGAUUGAAGCAUAUAUGGACAAUAUGAUGUUAAUUGCUUGAAAGUAAAGCAUAGAUGAUGAUCAUGAGAUGUAGUGCUUUGAGAGUAAAGCCUAGACUAUGAUUUGUUAAUUGAUAAUGUUGUAAUUUGGAAGGGAUACUUUCUAUAAUGAAUUGACAAACACGAUUGUAUGAAUGUGAAAGGUUUACUCACAUUAAUGAUUCUAGGUUGAAAGGCUUGCUCACCUAAAAUGAAUCUAGACUAAAAUGCUUAAUGAAUGAUGAGGCUAGAGGCGAUUACCCUUGACCUCCAUAUACAAGGAUAUGAGGUGAUUCACAUACUCCUUAGAAUUGAACAAGAGGUGAGUCCCCACGUUCCUACUAUGAUGAAUGGACAUGGAGGCGAGUACUCAUGCUCCUUAUGAAAUGAUGUGGAUGCGAGUACCCGGAAUUUAAAAGUAAGUAACGCCAGAGGCGAAUACCCAUUAGCCUUUAUAAGCUAGGCAUUGAGGGGAAUCCCCAUAUCUUUAAAAGUAAGUAUGAUUAAUGUGAUUAUGUUAUGAAGUGACUUGUUUGGAGUGUUGCUAGAUAUGCCUUCUAUGAUGUAAUCUUGACUAGAGGCGGACGACCUAAGUCUUGUUAAAUCUUAAGUGAGGUUACUUAAGGGAGUAUUCCUCUUUCAUUAUGAUGCUUAUUAUGUAUUGAUUAUGCUCGUGCCUUAUGUCUUAUGUUGACUAAUGCUUUUGAUUAUGUUGUUUAUGCAAGCCAUCAUAUUUAGUACUUGAUUGUACUAAUGCAUACUCUUGCCUACAUUCUUAUCAAACGUAAGGUCCGGCAUUCCCGAUUCACACACUUGUGGCUAGGUUCUUAGUUGAUCAAGAAGUAAAGCUUUGGUGAGUCCUCAUUGUAUUUGAGGAUUGGAUCACCCUAUCUCUUUUAUGUCUUUCUUUUCAUGUUGGACUGUUGUAUGGGUUGCGUCCCAAGAUUUAUCUUCUUAUGUUAUAUGGUUUGAGACAAUGUUGUUAGACUUCCGCUCGUUUUAUAAAAGACUUUGAUUGUAUUGAAAGGUUUUAAAUUCCCGCUCAUUUCUAUUACUUUAUGUUAUGAUAUGCUAAGUGGCUUGUAUGAGUCCUCACGGGGUUUUAUACGCCUUAUUACAUAUAGGGGGUACCCCUGCGUCGUUUCAAUUGUGAUGCAUCCAAGGUCAGCUUAGGUUGUGUGUUGAUGCAGCAAGGUAAGGUCAUAGAUUAUGCUUUCUAGAUAGCUUAAGGUCCAUGAGAAGAACUACCCAAAUCAUGACCUCGAAUUUGUAGCUGUAGUGUUUUCCCUAAAGAUUUUGAGACUUUACUUGUAUAGUGUUCAUGUUGAUGUUUCCACAGAUCAUAAGAGCCUCAAGUAUGUGUUCACCCAAAAAGAGUUGAAUCUUCAUAAAAAAGAUGGCUUGAAUUCCUCAAAGACUAUGACAUGAAUGUGCUCUACCAUCCGGGUAAAGGCCAAUGUAGUGGCAGACGCGAUCAACAGAUAAUCCAUGAGUAGUGUGGCACACGUUGAGGAAGAGAAGAAAGAAUUAGCCAGACAUGUUCACCGGCUUGCUCAUUUAGAAGUUUGUCGUAUGAACACCUCAGAUGGUGGUGUGAUAAUUCAAAAUGGGUCAGAAUCUUCGUUGGUAGCAGAGGCUAAGGAGAAACAAGAUAAUGAUCUUAUAUUGCUUCAGUUGAAGGUGCAUUUCAUCAGUAGACGGUUGAGGUAUUCUCCCAAGGGGGAGAUGGUGUACUUCGUAAUCAGGGUGGUCUCUUAUAUGUCCCUAAUGAGGGUGAGUUGAGGCAGAAAAUCCUUAAAGAAGCCCAUAAUUCUAGAUAUUCUAUUCAUCCGGGUGCUACUAAGAUGUACCGUGAUCUAGGAAAAAUCUAUUGGUGGAACGGUAUGAAGAUGGACAUCGCAGAUUUUAUGUCUAAGUGUCCUAACAGUCAACAAGUUAAAGUCGAACAUAAAAAAACCAGGAGGUAUGACUCAAUAGAUUAGCAUUCCUACAUGAAAGUGGGAAGUGAUAAACAUGGAUUUCACUACGGGUUCACCUUGUACUCGUAGACAGCAUGACUCUGUUUGGGUGAUAGUGGAUAGAGUCACUAAGUCAGCUCACUUCUUGGUUGUCAAUACUACAGAUUCACUGGAGGAUUAUGCUAGACUCUACAUCAGCGAGAUAGUCAAGUUGCAAGGGGUUCCUUUGUCUAUUAUUUCGGAUAGAGGUCCUCAGUUUACCUCUCAUUUCUGCAGAUCGUUUUAGAAAGGUCUUGGUACUCAGGUAAAUCUCAGUAUAGCAUUUCAUCCGCAGAUGGAUAGUCAAGAAGAGUGAACCAUUCAAACCUUAGAGGAUAUGUUGAGAGCUUGUGUGAUCGAUUUCAAGGGUAAUUGGGAUGAUCACCUACCUCUCAUAGAGUUCGCUUAUAAUAAUACCUUAUAUUUUAGUAUUCAGAUGGCCCCGUAUGCGGCACUCUAUGGCCACAAAUGCAUGUCUUCGGUUGGUUGGUUCGUAGUAGGUAAAGCGGCCUUGAUUGGGCCAGAUUUGGUUCAUGAGGCUAUGGAGAAAGUUCAGCUCAUCAGAGAUAGACUAAAAACAUCUCAGAGUCGUCAAAAGUCCUAUGCAAAUGUAAAAAGAUGAGACUUAGAGUUUGAAAUCGACGAUUGGGUUUUCCUGAAGGUGUCACGGAUGAAAGGGGUGAUGAGAUUUGGAAAGAAAGGUAAGCUCAGUCACAGGUAUGUAGGUCCUUACAGAAUCUUGAAAAAUUGGUAAUGUGCCUUAUGAGUUAGAUUUGCCAACAUAAUUAGCAGCAGUUCAUCCAGUCUUUCACAUUUCAAUAAGUGUGUGGGUGAUCUGACAUCAAAGUACCCUUAGAGAGUGAGGUUGUGAAGGAUAGCCUCACCUAUGAAGAGGUUCCAAUUGAAAUUCUUGACCAUCAGGUGCGUAGGUUGAGAAAUAAGGAUGUCGCUUUAGUAAAGGUUUUGUGGAGGAGUCAGUCUAUAGAGGGAGCUACUUGGGAAGCAUAGGAAGCCAUAAUGGCAAAGUAUCCUCACCUUUUUCCUUCCGAUUCCAUUUCAGCUUGAGGUAAUAGUUCCUCUCCGGUCUUUUAAUUAAUCUUGUGUAAUUUCAAUCUCAGUAUCUUGUUCCCUCUAUUAUCAUUGCAUUUCAGCAUAUUUGCAUGAUUCAUGGCACUCAAAUCAGUUGAAUAUCAACCUCUAGUACUCAAUUGGUAGGGUAUGCAGCUCUUUCCUCCAAACUGAGCUUCUAACACAUUGGCUUAGAGAAUAGCUAGAAUGGUUAAAAUAUACAAGUCAUAAGCCCAAAAAAUGGACCAUGGAACCCUCCACGAAGCCCUAGACGGGUCGUGUAGGGCACCACGGUCCUUUAAAGGGCUCAUUAAGGUCUUCGAGCACCUGCCACAGGGAGGCUUCACCUCGAAAAACACCCAGACGAUUUGUGGUAACUUGGACAGCCCAUCUGGUGGGUUGCAUAAAUCCCCCCCCCUCCCCAUCAAUAAGAUCCCACCCCAAGUCAUUGGUUAAGGACCAUAAAUGUCUAAACAGUUUACGAAGCUUCACACAGACUGUGAAGUCAUCUGUGAAGGGGACUUAUUAGGUCUUCAGUUGUGGGGAAACUCCAAACGAUCAUAUAUUUAAGAACAAAAUGAAAUUAGUGGCCCAUGACCUAUCAAAUUAAGGUAUUUGAGUCCUUUUUCCAACGCCACCACGUUUGCCUAAUUUCGAGCUCGGAAUAAAAAGUUAUGCUCGUUCUAGUGAAUCCAUGUCGGAUAGGGCAGCAUCACGACCCACUAGACGGGUUGUGAUGAUCUAAACGACCUCUGAAGAUCUUAUUGAAUGUCACCUCGUAAUUUUAAAGUGAGGUUGCACCCCCAAGGCCACUAUGAAGGACCAUGAAUGCCUAGAAAGUCAAUGAAGCUUAACACGCACCGUAAAGUCGUCCGUGAAGGCGACUUAUAACUUAGACUUUUGGGUCAACUUCAAAUGACCAUAUCUUUCUAAACAAAAUGAAUCAGGUGGCUCAUGACCUAUCAAAUUAAAGAUCUCUGAGUCCUCUUUUCAAUGUCACCGAGUUUGCCUAAUUACAAGCUUGGACUAAAAAGUUAUUCUUGAAAUAGUGAAAACCUAUCGGGUAGAGCAUCCUCACGACCCACUUGAUGGGCCGUGGUGCUCUAGAUAGCCUCUCUUGAAGUCACUUCAUCAGCAUUUAAAUUAGGGUCGCAUUGGCCUUUUUCCCUAUGCAUUUGGUAAUUAAACUACGUUGUUUGGUGCUUAAACUAAGUCAUUUUACUCAGUCUAAACCUAAUAAUCUAGUCAGAAACUACCUAAACCCCUCAUUCUCCCAAAUCAUCCAAUUUUGAAAGAAAAGAAGAGAAAAAGGGAUAGUUUCUCCCAAGAACAAGUAGAGGUUUUCUUUAACUUAAGCUCCAAAAUCCAAAGGAUUUCUCUGUAGGUUUCGUCACCAGGUAUGUGGGAUUUCAUUAAUGGGUUCCUUUCCCCCAUUAGGUCCCUAGAAUUCAGUCAGUUUCUGAAUUCUCAUCAAUUGCUCAGACUUAGGGUUUCUAAAUCUUGGGGAUACAUUGUAAUAUAGCUGAUAUAGUUUCCAUUAAAUUGGUUACAUGCUUUCUUGGAGAAUUAAUGUAGCCCCAUGUAUAGAACUCCAAACCCUAGCUUGUAUUAAUUAUUAGUAUCUCUUAAAUUAUACUUGCAAGGUAGAUCAGUAAGAAAAUCAUGCUUUAGAAUCAACUGCCAUAUCUUUCGGUAUAUAUAUGUUACAUUCUCAGAUAACAUUUCAGUAUUUUUAGCUACUCAGUAUUUCAGUUGCAUUUUAGCCAUACAUAUUCAGUUGGGAGUAGACUUAGCAUCGAGUUGGACUAGGGUUCAGCGUAGCCUCAAAGUCCCAGAACAAUGUACCAACAUAGGUGCAGAGGUCCCCUAUGUUGGGCAUCAGCUUUUAGUGAUCACGCCACAUUUAUGCCUUUAUACCUUUAGCAAGGUAUAUUGGGUCCUAUCGAUGGGGCAUAUACAUCAGACUCCUUGUUUAUCUCACAUGGAUUAUGUCAAUUAAUAGUAUCUCCCACAGUCAGACUCUUAUUGCAUUGACCAUGUUAUUGGCAUUUACUUUAGUAUUAAGUUCAACAUGUUAUUUUCAUGAUUAGUACUUGGUCAUUGCAUCUAGUUCAACUUUCAGUUAUAUCUCAACAUAUCAUUUCCAUGUUCAGUAUAUAGUGUUCAUCUUAGUAUCUAUAUAUUGCAUGCUCAGUACAUUCAAAGUUAUGAUGCAUACUUUUUGCGCUACAUCAAUGUAUGAUGUAGGUUUAGGCGCUCCACAUCCAUAUCAUGCUUAGUUCAACUUCUACUCCAUACUCAGCAGCUUUAAUGGUGAAUCCUCAUAGUUUGAGAACGUUUGUUUAUGUGUUUGAUUUAGUUAACCCAUUAUCAGGUUUCAGUACUUUUAGAGUUAGUUGGGGACUUGUCCCAGCAGCUCAUCAGUAUUAGAGGCUUUCAGGCAUAGAGUUAGUAUUCAAUUGUUUUGGGUUGUUCCCCAUUGACAUUUAGUUAUAUUCUCACUUGAAUUUCUUUUAGUCUUAACUCACUUCACAAUUACGUUUCUACUUAGUUGUAUUUCAGUAUGCAUCUAAUAUGCCAAACUCGGGAUUAGCUUGGGAUCACUUGUGAUCCUAGGUCCCGUUUUGCGCCUAGGGGGUAGUCUCGAGGCGUGACAUUGGUGUUCUGAGGGUUGGUGCUAAUGGUUAUUACAUUAGCAAGGUCAUUUCCUUCCUCUAUGCUUAGAGAUUGGUGAAUAGAGGGUGUUUGUCUUACCUAGAAUUUAGUCAGAACAAUAGUGUUGAGUCACCUCUUAUGGAGACCAUUCCCAUGCUUCAGGAGUUUCAAGAUAUAUUCCCUAUUGAUCUUUCAGGUGUUCCUCCCGAUAGAGAUAUUGAUUUUACUAUUGAUUUGGAUCCAGGCACUAAGCCCAUUUAUAUUUCUCUCUAUUGUAUGCCCCAGUAGAGUUGAAUGAGUUGAAGGAUCAAUUGCAGGAUUUGUUGAGUAAAGGAUUUAUUCGCCUUAGUAUGUCACCUUGGGGUGUUCUGGUCUUGUUUGUGAAAAAGAAGGAUGGAACUAUAAGGAUAUGUAUCAAUUACAUGUAGUUGAACAAAGUGACAAUGAAGAACGAUUAUCUCUCAUGCGCAAUGAUGAUUUGCUUGAUCAGCAUUAGGGAACAUCAUUUUUCUCUAAGAUAGAUUUGAGGUCCAGUUAUCUUCUAUAAGGAUUAGGGCCUGGGAAGUCUCUAAGACAGGUUUUCAGACUCGAUAUGGCCAUUAUGAGUUCUUGGUGAUGUCUUAUGGGUUGAUUAAUACCCCUUUUGCGUUCAUGGAGUUGAUGAAUGAGGUGUUUUGACCAUUAUUAGAUUCAUUUAAGAUUCUCUUCAUUGAUGAUAUUUUGGUGUACUCCAAAACCGAGGAGGACCAUGUUUGACACUUGAGGACAAUGCUUCAGAUGUUGAGGGAACAAAAGUUGCAUGCAAAAUUCUCAAAGUGUGACUUUAGGCUAGAUUUUGUGGCCAUCUUGACCCCAAAAUUCCGAAUUUAGUUGGGUAGCAUAUUCUAUUUGUGUAUACAAGGCUACAAACGAAUAUCUAGAGCCUAUUUUGUGAAUUUUUGUGCCUUGGGUGAAUUGUUGUUGUUGGUGUCAGUUAUAUUCCUUUGCAUUUGCAGAGCCCAUUUGCGUUCACAAAUAGUCAUGUCAUAUAACCUCAGCCUUUGUGAGGCCUUGACCGUGAUCUCAGAGGGCAAAGUGACUGGCCUUUGGGUUUGUGGAAGUCCUAUCGCGUUUGUGAAAGGUCGGGCGAGUUGAAUGUCACAUUCACGGGGCACUGUCUCCAUUCAUGACGGGUACUGAGGUUUGACUUUCGUGUUCGUAAGCCUCAUGCCGCGAACAUGGAGAAUUAAAUGACUGGGAGUAUGUUUUCUUCCAAAAUUGGGGACUUUCCCUGUUUUGACCUUUUUUUUUACUUGGAGAACCCUUUACAGGCGAUUUACCCUAACUCUUCAUUUCCAAUUUACUUUUUAUGACUUUGAACUUUAAAGUUUGGGGGUUUCCAAGAACCUAAGGUUUUGAUAAAAAUGGUGAUCAUUGUUUGAUUUUAGCUCUAUUUUUAAAAUGGUUUUCACCAGUGGGUUCCAAAUUCUUUAGGUAGCAUAUUUUUAUACAAAUUUCCAGAUUUAACCCUCAUUUUAAGAAAUAAGUUUUUUGGGUCAGUUUGUCCUCAUUUUCCAAUAUUCUUGAUAUGGGUGGUGUUCUUAGUUUCAAAUUCUUCUUAUGAUUCUCUAUUUGACUAGAUUGUGUUGAAUUGGAGACCCAAGGAAGGGGAAAGCUCAAGUACCAGGGUGAUCAUUUUAUUUCUUGAGGCAAGUGAACUUCUUGACCUUUGUUAUGUAUAUAGAAUCUCAUAUUUUCUUAGUGUGUAUUGGGCCGUAAUGAGAUUUGGUGAAGGGUUCGAUAUUUGUUGUUACAUGUUUAUAAGGAAUGAUUCUAAUGAAGAAAAUGGGUAAUAAAGAGGAUACUUGAUAGUAAAUUUGUGUGUGACAUUUUGUGGAUAAUUUGAGGGGUUAUAUUGACUCAUUAUUGGUGUUGUAUCAUAGAUUUGUUGUUAUGGAUUGUGUAUUGAUAUGAAAUUGUCAUUUUCUGAUUAAUUGUGUGAACAUGCCUAUUUGCAUUGGUUUAGAAACACUAUGAUGAAACUUAUUAUGAUGAGGAUGUCGAUGGGAAAUGGUUCCGAAUAUGUCGAUUAGAAAUUGUUUUGGUGAUGCCGAUGGGAAAUAGUUCCAGUGAUUGAUGAUUUUGCCGAUGGAAAAUGAUUUUCGCUAGUACAUGGACCUUCUGCAUACCCCAUGGGUUUGACCUAAUAUUCAGUUGAUGUGUAUUAGUAGGACAUACAUCCAUCGCCUUACUUGACAUUUCAUUUCAUUGAACAUCAUUACCAUUUGCGAACUAUGAGUCCUUAUUGUGGAACUUGUGAUUGAUGAAUCUAAUAUUGGGUAUUGGUUACCCAUAUAUGUUGAAGUGUUGUUAUUCGUUCUAUAUGCUAUAUGAACUGUGAACUGUUAGGUUAGGUUGAUUUUGUGUAGGUUGUAGUUGUGGAGGUUCAUUUGGAUUGUUGGGAGUACAUGUAUUUUAUAUGGAUUUACCUCGAGUUAGUGGUUUGCUUGUUGAGUAUCGUAUUGCUUGGUACUCACUACAUUGCUUCUACACUUGGGUAGGUUACGAGCCCAGAUCAUCGUGAUAUUCCUUCUUCUAUUUUACGUCUGAGGCUUAUUGACUAAUGUCCUUACAACGUUCAUAAAGUUGUUGAACAGGGUGUUUCAACUAUUUUUGGAUUCAUUUGUGAUUGUCUUUAUUGAUUAUAUUUUGGUGUAAUCCAAGACUGAGGAGGACCAUGUUCGACACUUGAGGAUAGUGCUUCAGAGGUUGAGGGUAGAGAAGUUGUAUUCAAAGUUUUCAAAGUGUGAGUUCUGGCUUGAUUUUGUGAGCCUUUUAGGACACAUGGUGUCCAAAAAAGGUAUUAGAGAGGAUCUAGCCAAGAUUGACGCAAUUAGAGGCUUGAUGAGACCUACUUCUCCUACCAAGAUUUGGAGUUUUAUGGGGUUAGAAGACUACUAUAGACAGUUUGUGCAGGGUUUCUCUACCAUAGUAGCGUCAUUGACCAGAUUGACUUGGUAGAGUGUAGGUUUUCAGUCGUUCGAGUUCUUAAGAUAUGGCUUCACUAUUUGUACGGGAUGCAUUUUGAGGUCUUCACUGAUCAUCAGAGUCUCCAGUAUAUCUUCAGAGAGAUCUGAAGUUAAGGUAGCGUAAAUGGCUCGAGCUGAUGAAGUAAUAUGGCAUGACUAUUCUAUAUCAUCCACGAAAGGUCAAUGUGGUGGCUGAUGCUUUGAUUAGGAAAACUUUUCACAUGGGGAGUCCUGUUGCGAUUAGUGUUGAGGAAAGACUUUUGGCAAAAGAUGUUCAUAGAUUAGCCAAUAGUUUUGUUUGAUUGCUAUUUCAUAGAAGAGUGGUGUUAUUUCCUUUUUUAAAGAUAGGUCUUCUUUGGUUGAGUAGAUUAGAGAGCGACAGUUUGAUGAUGAGAAGUUAUGCAUGAUUCGAUACAAUGUGUUAAGGGGUGAAGUUAGGAAAGUAAUUCGGAUGGAGUGUUGUUCUUAGAGGAGGCUCACUGUUCUAGAUACUCAAUUCCUCUGGGAGCGGCCAAGAUGUACCACAAUUUGAGUCAGCAUUACCGGUGGUGCGGUAUGAAAAAUGACAUUUUUUAGUUUGUGUCUAUGUAUUUGACUUGCAAGCAGGUCAAAUGUGAGCAUCAGUGGGCUAAAGAUGUGUCUCACAAGAUGCCCAUUCCUACUUGAAACUGGGAACGUAUCACCAUGGACUUUGUAGUAGGUUUGCCUACCACUGUGGGUGCUAUGAUUAUAUUUGGGGUUGUUGAUAGGUUGACCAAGUCCACCUAUUUCAACAGAGUUCACGUGAUAUACACGGCAUAGAUGUUAUCUCACUCUUCAUCAGUAAGAUAGUUCGACUACGUAGAGUGCAUAUUUCUACUGUCUCUUAUACAGAUUCACUGUUCACUUCUCACUUCUAGAGGGCCUUACAACAUGGUUUGGGUACUCGACUAGACAUGAGUACAACUUUUCACCCUCGGACAAAUGGAUAGUCUGACCGAAUGAUUCUAGUGUUAGUGGACAUGCUUAGAGUAUGUCAGAUUGAUUUUGGUGCUCAUUGGGAUCAAAAAUUUCCCUUAGCUGAGUUUGCCUAUAACAGCAGCUACCAUUCCAAUAUUCAGAUGGACCUAUUUGAGGCGUUGUUUAGUGGGAGGUGUAGAUCUCCGAUCGGUUGGUUUGAUGAAGUUGAGACGGAAUCAUUAGAUAAAGACUUACUUACAGAUGUCAAGAAGCAGAUCUGUUUGAUUUAGAGUAGGUUGGUGAUGGCUCAGAGUCGACAUAAGAGUUAUGCAUAUAGGACGGUUUAAGAUCUAGACUUUAUGAAAGGCGAUCAUGUUUGGCUCAGAAUGUCGCCCAUAAAGGGUGUGAUGAAAUUCAGGAAUAAGGGAAAGCUUAACCGUAGAUUCAUUGGCCCUUUUGAUAUUUUGGGAUGGAUUGGAGAGAUAUCCUAUAAGUUGGCCUUCCCUCCUAGCUUGUCAGUUAUGUAUCUUGUUUUCCAUGUCUGCAAUGAUUGAAAAGCAUGUGCGGGAUGAGUCUCAUGUGAUUUCACUUGAUUUAGUAGUGUUGGGUCCAUACUUGUCUUUUGAGAAGGAGCAUAUAGCCAUAUUAGAUAGGCAGGUUCGAAAUCUUAGUAACAAGGAGGUUUCUUAGGUGAAAGUGUAGUGAAAACAUUGUUCAGUUGGAUAGGCAACUUGGGAGAUGUAACACCCCGUAGUCUAGUAGGCCAACUAGGGCAAAGUAUGAGUACAACGAGUCAAGACUAGAGGACAAGAGCCAAGGCAAAAGGGCAAGGGCCAAGGCUGCCCCAAGUCUCCAAGACACUGCCCCACUUCACGACCACCACCACGGCCGAUGGUGUGGACCACGGCUCGUGUUGUGGUCCGUGAUGGCUAAGGCAGUAACUACUUUGAGGCUGCCUUUAGAUGGCUCAUCUUCACGAGCCACUUCACAGCCAGUGGUGAGGACCACGACUCGUGGGAAGGCCCGUGAAAAUGCCUUCAUUUUGUCGAGGCCAAGGCAUGGUGGCCUAGCCACUGGUCCAAGGACAACGAGCAGGACCACGGCCAGUGGUGAGGACUAUGGCAUGUGGAGCCUCUCGUAGUGCCUGGCACUAGGCUGCCUAAUGAGGGUUAUUUUGGGAAAUUUCUAAUUAAAUGGGUAUUAAGUGAGGUCAUUUUGUAUAGUCUUAGUACACAUAUAUAAGCUAUUUUAACCCUUUAACCACCCCAAUUAAUUCAUUAUUUCCAAAACCCCAAAAGAAUCCCAAAUUUCAUCCUCUCAAAUAUUCUCUCCCUAGAAAGUGAAGAAGAAGAGGGUCAAGCUAGGUCAAGUAUCCAUUUUUUCAAGCUUGGUAGGCUUUGUAAUCAAGGCAUGAUGUAUUAUUCAUGAAUGGAUUCCUUUCAUCCAUGAAGCCCCCGUGUUUUCCCCAAUUGUGAAGAUGAAUCCCCAAUUCUAGUUAGGGUUUCUUCCCAUAUUGUAGGUAUUGUUGUUUGUUGAUCCAAUUGAGUGGAUAAUGAUCAAUUAUGAUUGAACUAGUAAUCUAUCAUGUUUUUAAGAUGAAAUUACAUGUUUACAUUCCUAAACCAUAUCUAGAGAGAUGAAAUUGAAGUAAGUGGGUUUUAUGCCAUGAAAGGGGAAAUUGAGGAUUUAGAUGUAAUCUUCUAGAAUUGAUGAAGUAUAUUGUAUAUCUCUUGAUAGUUAAGCAUAUAGACAUGAAUUGAAUGUGAUUAAUGUAUGUAUGAUGAACCAUGGUUAGAAGAGAUAGAGAUUGGGGUAAAAUGAUGAAGUAUGACUAGAUUGCUUAAGAUUGAAGUACAUAGAUGUGAAUUGAAUGAAAUCAAGUAUAUGUACAUGAAUUAUGACUUGUAAGCUAUGAUGAUUAGAAUUUUCUUGAGACUAAGGCAUGCAUGAUGAAUGACUAUUGUUAGGGAUUUUAGAAUAAAGUUUAUAUGUUGAAUAACAACUAGUAGGGCUUGAGAGUAAAGCUAAUAUGAUGAGUUAAGACUAGUAAGGCUUUAAGAGGGAAGCUAUAUGAUGAAUGUUGAUUGUAUAUGGUGUUGUUGUGGAAGGCUUACCCACAUGACUUAUAUUAUGAAUGUACGAGAUUAUGCAUGUUCUUAUAAAACCUAUGUAAAUGCCUUAUGAACACUUUGAGGGUAAAGUGUCUAUGAUUAUGAUAUUGAAUAUGACAUGGAAGCUUAUACGCUAGUUGAGUUCGGCUUCCAAAUGGAAUCCUUAUAGGCUAGUUGAGUCUGGGUUUCCAAAUAUAUCUCAUGGGAUGGAGACCAUUUACACUAGUUGAGUUCGGGUUCCCAAGUAUAUCUCAUGAUAAUUGCCUAAAAUGAAUCUAAGAGUAAAAGUGAUCAUGGAUGCUGAUAGUUGCUCAUGCAUGAUUUAAUGAGCCUUCUUAAUGAACUAAGACAUGCUUAAAGAAAGUAUCUCGUUAGUGUUCAAAGGCUUCAUGUAAGAACUAAGGUAGCUUGAAGUAGUGAUAAGAUAUCCCUUCAUGAAUAUCUUGACUUGGUAAGAUAAGACCAAGCUUUGUAGCUUGAGUUAGGAGUCCUCAUGGAUAGCUUUGGAUUAAGCAAUAGUACCUUUCCAAUGGUUAGCUUGAACUAAGCACAAUAGAGUGCUUUGCAUGGUAGCUUGACUUGGUUAGGCCACACCAUAUCAUUGGUAGCUUGGAUUGAGCAAUGUUACCCUUCCUUGAGUAGCUUGGACUUGCAUGAUAGAGUGAUUUCCGUGAUAGCUUGGUCUAACAUAAGUAAGGUGUUUUUCCUUGAUAGCCUUGAAUUGGUAAUUCAUAACCAUUCAUGAGUGAUGAUGUGUGGUGGACUAGUAAAGAGGUAUUCUUCCAUGACUAGUAUGAAUAUGAGGGACAAGUCACUAAUCAAAGUAGCAUGUAUAUGAUGAAACAAGAUUACUUCAAGGAAGUAUUGUAAGUAUGUUUUGAUAUGAGGUUUACUUGUAUGAUGUAUGCCUAGUUUGCAUUGUAGCUUGAAAGGCCCUUCCAAUACAUGUGUGACUAAAGGUGAAUGUUCCCUUGUCUAUGAGAAAUAAGCUAAGUAUGAGAUCAAAAGAUGAUAAAUACGAAUGAGGGCCUAAAGUGACUUUCUUAGCAUGGGUGAGAUUAUGGGGUCUUAUCCAUGCAUUGCACAAGCUUGCCUUGAGGUGACUUAUGAAGUGUUUCUCUUAUGUCAUGCUAAACAAGAUGCAUUGAUUAUGCCUAUGACUAUGUUGUUAUCUCUUUUGCUUAUAGCCUAUGUCUUAUAAUGAUGUCUCUUAUGCUUAUGACUUAUUAUGAUUUUGGUAUAUGUCUUAUGUUGACUAAUGCCUCUAUUAUGCUUAUGUUGAUGAUUAUGCUAGCCAUCAUAUUUGUACUAACGCAUAUUUUUGCCUGCAUUCUUAUCAAAUAUAGGGUCCGGAGAUAUUGACUUCCAUCAUCGUGGUUAGGUUCCUGGUAGAGCAAAAAGGGAGGUUUUGGUGAGUCCUCAUAGCAUCGAGGACUUGAUCACCCUUUCCUUUUUAUGUAUUUAUUUUUAUGUUAGAACUAUUGUAUGGGCUGUGUGACAAAGAAUAUUCAUGUUUUAGUUGGUUUGAGACAAAGUGUAUAAGACUUCUGCUUCAUUUUAUGAGACUUUGAUGUUAUGAAAAUUUAUUAAAUUUCCGCUCAUUUCUAUUAUCUUAUGUUGUAAGAUGCUAAGGGGAAGUAUGAGGCCUCUCAGGGUCUUGUACGCCUUGUUACAUCUAGGGGGUACCCCUGGGUCGUGAUAGGAGACGAAGUUUUACAUGCGUUCUAGAUAUCCUCAGCUUUUUUAAGCUUCAGGUACUUUUUUUUACUUUAUGUUUGAAGAUGAACAUGGUUUCUAGUGGGAAAUAAUAUAAUGAACUGGAAGGUCAUUUUUGAAAAUUUUCGGUGAAGUUUUGUGCCUUGUGUAGAUUGUUGUUGCUGGUGUCUGUUAUAUUCCUUUGCGUACAAGAAAUUUAUUCCCAUUACCGAAAAGUCGUGUGGUCUGACCACUGCUUUCGCAAAGUCUUGACCUCGAUUGCAAAGGGGGAAGUGUCUGGCCUUCACAUUCGCGGUGUUCUUUCUGCAUUCAUGAUAGGUAAUAAGCUUUCACCUCCACGUUCGUGGGACUCAAGCAGGGAACACAGAGAAUUAAAAGACUAGCAAUAUGUUUUCUUCCAAAAUAGGAUUUUUCCUAUUUUCACCAAUUUUGGACUUGGAAAACCCUUGUUAGGCGAUUUCAAAUAGGAAUUUCGUGAUAAUCUUUUAAGUAUUUAUUACCCUAAAUCUUCAUUUCCCAUUUACUCUUCAUAAUUUUAAACAUCAAAUUAGGGAUUUUGAACUUUAAAGUUUGGGAGUUUUCAAGAACUAAAGGUUUUAAUAAAAAUGGUGAUUAUGGUUUGAUUUAACUCCAUUUUUAAAAUGAUUUUCACUGGUAAGUUUCAAAUUCUUUGAGUAACACAUUUUUGUACAAAUGUCAUAUGUAACCCUCAUUUUUGGAAAUGGGUGUUUGGGACAAUUUGUCCCUAUCUUCCAAAAUUCUUGAUAUCGGUGUUGCUAGUGCAAAAUUCGUAUUGAUGUCUUGAGGCAAGUGAAUUUCUUGACCUUGGUUAAAUCUAUAGAAUCUUGUAUUUACUUAUUGUGUGUUGGGUAGUAACGGGAUUUGGUGAAGGGUUUGAUAUUUGUGGUUACAUGUUCAUAUGGAAUGAUUGUAAUGAUAAAAAUGGGUAAUAAAGAGGCAACUUGAUAGUAAAUUGGUGUGUUAUACUUUGUGGAUGGAUUCACGGGUUAUAUUGACUCAUUAUUGGUGUUGUAUCAUAUUUGCGUUGAUAUGGAUUGUGUGUUGAUAUGAAAUUGUCAUUUUCUCAUUAAUUGUGUGAACAUGCCUAUUUGCAUUUGUUUUGGAACAUUGUGAUGAAACCUAUUGCGAUGAGGAUCUCAAUUGGAAAUGGUUCCGGUGAUAUAUAUAUAUAUAUAUAUUAACCUUAUUUAUAAGCCAACAAGAAAGGACUAACACAGCAAUAACUAAUUGUACCUGAUGCAAUAUAAGUUGUACUAUGUAAUGGACCCAUUUCAUUGAGUUGGAUUUCAUGCAUUAGCCCAUUUUAUUAAACAUUUUUCACCUCUUCUUCUCUACUCUAAACACGUGUGAUAACCGUGUCCAUAUUUCCAAGUUUUGCUUCUAACCGCAUCCUUUUUACUAAUCAAAAGCUUACAACCUCAAAUCUCAAAUCCCUCUUCAACAAUGGCCGUAAGCUUCAAUUUGGUCCUUUAUCAAUGUUACUCAGAGGGCUCCCCGUCUUUCUCAUCAUUUUUUCCAAAAAAUUUAUGGGUCUUUUAUAUUUUCAGACGAUUGGAACCAAUACUACCUUAAAGGUAGUCUUUGAUUUGAAAAUUUUUAUAUUGGUUGUUUGCAUGUCAUUUUUAUGGCUUCUUAGUUCUACCGUUUCAUGUUUCUUGAAUUUGAUAUUUGUCAGGAGACUCGGGAAUAUGAAAUAGCUAUUUAAAGUUAGUUCAUGUGAGUGUUUUGCUAUUUACCGGUAAGCACUCCAAUUUGAGCCUCUUUUUUCUAAUUUGCUCAUAUUUUUCUUGAGUUUUUAUGAAAUAAUUGUCUUCUUUUGGUGAACGAACACAUCACAUAGUAUUACAAAUAGAAUCCUAAAUUGGUUCUAGAGAAUAUUGAUUUCCUAUCUUCAUGCUGUCAUUGGAUUCAAUUGGCUAUUUUAAUUUUUAGGUGUCUAUUUGGAGUUCAAUUUCUCAUAAUUUUAAAGGUUUUCGUUUGCUUAUUGACAUGCAGUAUCACACCAUUAGAUCUUGAUUCAUGUUAUUUAUCAGGGUAACAUACUCUGUGUGGAAUAUGUUUUUCAUGAACUUAUAACCUUGAAAGUAUUUGGAAUAAUUAAGGUAGGACUUUGUGAGAAAGUAGAUUCUAGGGUGAUGCCCGUGCGAUGCACGCCCCAACAAAUUGAUUUUUAAUAUGUUACAAUAUGCCAAAUUUAUCAUCAAACCAAGGACCAAAGGAUAUAUUAUUUGGCAAAUUUUUCCAUCAUUAGAGCUUGUAUUAGCUUCAAGUUCAUAAUGCAUUAGUUCCACCAAAAAGAUGCAAGAAAAUUCAUACAUAUGUCUGUUUGUUUGACACCAUAAACGUACAACAAAAUAUAUGUUUGUUUGUUUGACACCAUAAAUGUACAACAAAAUUUAGAAAGAAAAAAAAUAUACUACAUGUAACUUUAAAGCAAUAACCAAGAGAAUCACUCAUGCCAUCACUUAGUUAUGGAUGAAAAAUGCAUGUAUCUCAAGUGUAAAAUCAGAUGUACUAUAAUGUGAGUGGUCUGAAUUUCAUGUCGAAGAAACAUCGCUAGGACUUUCUGAUGUCUUUAGUUGUGUAAUUGCAAGGUUGUAGCUCUUACUUUUUGGUCAAUAGUUUGCUCUUAGUCUAUGUUGGCAUGCCUUUGGUUCUGGCAGUUUGACAAAAAAAUAUUGGCAACUUGGCAUGCUUUUGGUUAGUUGUAAGCAUGUUCAGGAAUAUAUUCGUUGGUCCUUCUUUGUAAAAUUUUAGUUCUUUUUAUGCAAUCUUUUUCAGGAUAUUGAGGCCAAUAACCGGAAAGUAAAUGUAUACACUGAAAAUCAUACUUUUCAAGAGACUAGAUGGAACCGUUAACGAGUUGGUGAUCUUAUUAAGGUGUACAAGGAUCAAUAUUUCCCCACUGAUUUGCUUUUGCUUUCAUCUAGCUACGAGGAUGGAAUAUGUUAUAUCGAAAUCUCCAAUCUUGAUGGAUAGACUAACCUUAAGGUGAAGCUUGCAUUAAAUAUCACAUCCUCUUUGUAAGCCGAUAGUUCUUCUCAAACUUUUAAAGUUGUUGUUAAGUGUGAAGAUCCAAAUGAAAUUUGUAUACUUUCAUUGGAACUCUGUAUUAUGUUAAUCAGCAGAACCCUCUUUCAGUGCAACAAAUACUUCUGCGAGGUUCCAAGCUACGCAAUACUUUAUGGUGUGGUUAUUUUUACUGGUCAUACACAAAAGUCAUGCAAAAUUCUACAGAUCCUCCUUCUAAGAAGAGUGGAAUUGAGAAAAAGAUGGAUAAAAUAUAUGUCCUUUUUGGUACCUUGAUUACAGUAACUUUUAUUGGAUCCAUCUUUUUUGGGAUUGAAACUAAAAAUGACAUUUUUGGUGGGAAACUAAGGAGGUGGUAUCUUCAACCAGACAAGACAAGUGUGUUUUAUGAUCCUAAAAGAGCUUCACUGGCUGCAUUUUUUUCAUUUCUUGACAGCCUUUAUGUUGUAUGGUUACUUGAUUCCUAUUUCGCUAUGUGUGUUUAUUGAAAUUGUGAAGGUUUUACAGAGCAUAUUCAUCAAUCAAGAUAGGGAGAUGUACUAUGAGGAAACAGAUUAGCCAACUCAUGCAAGAACAUCUAAUCUGAAUGAGGAACUUGUGUUGGUUGACACAAUACUCGCAAUCAAAACAAACACCUUAACAUGCAACUCCAUGGAGUUUGUCAAAUGUUCAAUAGCAGGUGUUGUGUAUGGACGUGUUGUGACAGAAAUAGAGAGGGCCCUGGCAAAGCAAUAAGGAGAUGGAUCACAGGAAGUAGGCGAUACUUCCAAUGACGUGUAGGAAUCAAGUGACCCUACUGUUAACUCGAAGAAAUCUAUUAAAGGAUUCAACUUCAAAGAUGAGAAUAUAAUGAAUGGUUAAUGGGUCCACGAGUCUCAUCGAGACAUAUUACAAAAAAAUUUAGAGUGCUGGCGAUUUGUCAUACUGUUUUUGUGAUGUGAACAAAAAAUAGGUGAGAUCUCUUAUGAAGUAGAGUCACCAGAUGAAGCUGUCUUUGUCAUUGCAGCAAGACAACUUGCAUUUCAGUUCUUUGAAAGAACACAAAGCAGAAUUACACUGCAUGAAUUGAAUCAUCAGAGUGGCAAGAUGGUUGACACGUAAAUCUUUGAUUUAGUUUGUUUCCUGUAUUGGAAUCUUAAAUAUUCAGAAGUUCUGUUCAAAGAUGCGAACGUGGUUUACUAAUCCAGCAGCCAAGAAUACAUCCACAUUUUCCUAUUUUGCCCUUUUGGGGUGUGGUUUAUCGAUUCUGUUUUAUUUCAGCUCUUUUAGUUGUGAAGAAUCCCUGGCAGGACUUCUUUCUGUUGGUUGAUAUUUUCUCGAGGUAGUGAAAAGCAAGAGCCAUUUGAGGAGCAAUGUAUUGCUUACUUCCUCGAAAGGAUUAAAAUAACCAAAAGAAUUAUGUUUGUGAUACUUAUUUAGUAUCUCUUAUUUUUAAUAUGAAUUGUGUUUAUGUUGCUUAUUUAGUAUCUCUAAUUCCUUUUUUAUAUGGAUAGAAUAUGGAUUGCAUGAGACUGCAUGUGUUCUGGUGUCAUUUUGCUUGCAGGUACAACUUUCAAAUUUAAUGCACUAUUUUAAUAUAUUAAGGCUCUUCUCCCAUUGGGUUCGUAAGUACAGAUUAGCUUCUACAGGGCAUGCUUCUUUUUAUUUGUUUUGAGAAUUCUUUUCGGUGUACUAUUUUCAGAUAAACAGUUAUGGAGGAGUACAUGAAAUUAAACACAAUUGUCACUCUAUGGGAAAGGUUUGGUAUGUGCAAGUGAAGUCGCGGAAACAACUUUCUUUCCAUCCAUUGGAUUGGUUAUAAGAGUGGAAAUACCGACAAAGAUUUAAUCUUUGGAUCUUUUCAACUGAGGACCUUUUGAAAGAACCUUUUGUUCUAUUCUAUUCCUCAAUUGUCCUCCAAACAUCUUUUAUAACAUUCACUUCUUCAAAUCUUCUCAUAAAGAGACGAGUGCUAGAAAUGGUCGGUACAACUAUUGAAGUUGGUCAUGUUUAUUCCUUAGCAGACAUUAUCAUAGCACAACCUUAUGUACGAGGCAAACAUUACUCAAGUAAUUUAAUCUUUGGAUCUUUUCAAUUGAGGACCUUUUGAAAGAACCUUUUGUUCUAUUUUAUUUCUCAAUUGUCCUCCAAACAUCUUUUCUAACAUUCACUUCUUCAAAUCUUCUCAUAAAGAGAAGAGUGCUAGAAAUGGUCGGUACAACUAUUGAAGUUGGUCAUGUUUAUUCCUUAGCAGACAUUGUCAUAGCCAAAAACUAGCACAACCUUAUGUACGAGGCAAACAUUACUCAAGUUUGUUUAUAGAUAUACUAACUUGAUUGUACGUUAAAUGUGUUUAUGUAACUACAACUCUGUGAUAUUGAAAGUUAUUUGAUAAAAUUUGUGAUCUUGAGGAUUGCCCGUACUUUGACUAGAUUGGAGCUACGUUAUUGGAUAAGAUUGUUGCAGCAUUCAAUUUUAUGCUUAUGCAUAUGCUAUUUUUCUUUGCGUUAAACGUGUUUAUGUAACUACAACUCUGUGAUAUUAAAAGCUAUUUGAUAAAAUUUGUGAUCUUGAGGAUUGUCCGUACUUUGAUUAGAUUGGAGCUACAUUAUUGGAUAAGAUCGUUGCAACAUUCAAUUUUAUGCUUAUGCAUAUGCUAUUUUUCUUUCUUUUAGUUUCUUUUGUACUCUCAUUUUGCAGCACCAAGUGACUAUGCAAAACAACCAAGGAUCAAUAAUCACUUAUGAACACAAAAUGUUGGGCACGGGCCAAUGCCCAUCUAGUAUAUAUAUAUAUAUAUAUAUAUAUAUAACCAAGGAUCAAUAAUCACUUAUGAACGCAAAAUGUUGGGCAUGGGCCAAUGCCCAUCUAGUAUAUAUAUAGGGCAAAUUACAGAAAUCACAUACUUUUCCCAUCAAAUUUGAAACUUAUUUGCAUAGUUAGGAUAAGAGAUGACAAACAUUAAACAGUACAAAGAGAUUACUUGGUUAGUGCAUACUUGUUAAACUAUCAUUCACAAAGAAUUGAUUCAGAUAUCAAUUGAAUUUUGAUAGUUUGAAAGGCACCACAUACAUACUAAAUAGUCAUUGAUAGACGAAGAUUCCCUCAGGUGAGGUGCAUUAUAAGGUGUCACGAUGAUGUCAUGGGGGAGGUACACAACUGUGAUUAAAGAUCUCGUCCAGAGGAGAAAUGUCUUGCUCGUAAUUUUUUAUGCUUCGAAAGAAGCUGCUAAGGCGUAGGAUGCGGCUACGAGGAUAUAAGAGUUAUAACUAAAUUUCCUCAAGAUAACCUCGGAGAUUUUCUCAAGAAGUCUAUUUGUAAGAUCGAAAGUGAUGAUAAUAAUGAUAACUCCAAUCAUUUGCUCUCAAUACGCUUUCAGGUCGCCUUCCUACGAGAUUGCGGUGCAGUGAGCUUUCAAAAAUGAAGAAGCCAAAAAGAGACCAUGAACUUUUUGAGGUGAUGCUAACGACGACUACAACACUAUGCCUCUAAAUCAUGAGAUCACCAUUGCACCGUUAGGGAGCAUGUGAAACCAUCAUCGAAUAUUGAAUGCAUGACAUUUCGCAGGUCCCUUUUGCUUUUAAUUUCCUUUUAAAUUCAAAAAAUAUAAAAGGAAAAAAUGAAUACGAGAGAGUCGGCCUCGUUUAUUUCAAGAAACCUAUUUAUUGAUUUUUCAUUUUUUCUUUUUUGGGUUGAUUCUUGUUCGAACUUGAUUCUUUUUUUAUCGAGAUGCAUAGAUCCAUGAUUCCUUUCAGAUCAAGAUGUAUAGAUCCUCAAUUCUUUUCUGAUCAAGAUGUAUAGAUCCUUGAUUUUUUUUCCUGAUUGAGAUGUAAAGAUCAAAAUGUUCCUUUUCAAUCAAGAUGUGUAGAUUCUUAAUUCUUUUUCGAAAAGAAAUAUAGAUUUUACUCAUAGAUCAACAAAAAAGUGCAGCAAUAUUUCGUAGCACGAUGAAUCAUCAUUUUGUUUCUUUGAAUAUCCAUAAAAAUGCUUGAACUCUUUUUUGAUUUGUUCUUCUAUUGUUUUUUUGCAAAUAAAAUUCUCAAGAAAAUCUCUAUUGUUUCAUAGGUUAUCUCGAAAACAAAUAAUUACCUCAUGUUGCCAUGAUAUCUCCUCGUCAUUGAUCGUAAACCUUAGCAACUUCUUCUAGUGUAUCAAAAGUUCUGAGCUAACCAGUUCUCCUCUGGGUGGAAUCUCUAAUCUCAGAGGUGUACCUCCUCAUAUAGCACCCCCUAAAAUGCAUCUUACCUGAUGGAACCGUCGCCUUGUUGGUUUUCCU